rnacentral:rRNA from 1 species
UAGAGGAAGUAAAAGUCGUAACAAGGUCUCCGUUGGUGAACCAGCGGAGGGACAUUACUGAGUUUACGCUCUACAACCCUUUGUGAACAUACCUAUAACUGUUGCUUCGGCGGGUAGGGUCUCCGUGACCCUCCCGGCCUCCCGCCCCCGGGCGGGUCGGCGCCCGCCGGAGGAUAACCAAACUCUGAUUUAACGACGUUUCUUCUGAGUGGUACAAGCAAAUAAUCAAAACUUUUAACAACGGAUCUCUUGGUUCUGGCAUCGAUGAAGAACGCAGCGAAAUGCGAUAAGUAAUGUGAAUUGCAGAAUUCAGUGAAUCAUCGAAUCUUUGAACGCACAUUGCGCCCGCCAGCAUUCUGGCGGGCAUGCCUGUUCGAGCGUCAUUUCAACCCUCAAGCUCUGCUUGGUGUUGGGGCCCUACGGCUGACGUAGGCCCUCAAAGGUAGUGGCGGACCCUCCCGGAGCCUCCUUUGCGUAGUAACUUUACGUCUCGCACUGGGAUCCGGAGGGACUCUUGCCGUAAAACCCCCAAUUUUCCAAAGGUUGACCUCGGAUCAGGUAGGAAUACCCGCUGAACUUAAGCAUAUCAAUAAGCGG